rnacentral:misc_RNA from 1 species
AGCAGCCGCGGUAAUUCCAGCUCCAAUAGCGUAUAUUAAAGUUGUUGCAGUUAAAAAGCUCGUAGUUGAAUUUCGGGAUCAAUAUGUUGGUCGUGCCUCGGUACGUACUAGCUUAUUGGUUUCUCCUUUCUGAAGAACCAUGAUGUCAUUUAUUUGGUGUCGUGGGGAAUCAGGACUGUUACUUUGAAGAAAUUAGAGUGUUUAAAGCAGGCUCACGCUUGAAUACAUUAGCAUGGAAUAAUGAAAUAGGACGUUUGAUUCUAUUUUGUUGGUUUCUAGGAUCGACGUAAUGAUUAAUAGGGAUAGUUGGGGGCAUUAGUAUUCAAUUGUCAGAGGUGAAAUUCUUGGAUUUAUUGAAGACUAACUACUGCAAAAGCAUUUGCCAAGGAUGUUUUCAUUAAUCAAGAACGAAAGUUAGGGGAUCGAAGACGAUCAGAUACCGUCGUAGUCUUAACCAUAAACUAUGCCGACUAGGGAUCGGAUGAUGUUAAUUUUUUU